CCGUUGGAUGACGAAGAGAUGGUUUCGUACAUCCUCAUCAGGCUUGACAUCAAAUUAAAUCCAGUCGUUUUUGCCAUCAUCGCGCGAGUUGAACCAAUCACUGUAAGUGAAUUGUACGCGUACUUAUUAAGUUUUGAAA